CAGCCGCCACGGUAAUACGUAGGGCGCAAGCGUUAUCCGGAAUUAUUGGGCGUAAAGAGCUCGUAGGCGGUUUGUCGCGUCUGCCGUGAAAGUCCGGGGCUCAACCCCGGAUCUGCGGUGGGUACGGGCAGACUAGAGUGAUGUAGGGGAGACUGGAAUUCCUGGUGUAGCGGUGAAAUGCGCAGAUAUCAGGAGGAACACCGAUGGCGAAGGCAGGUCUCUGGGCAUUAACUGACGCUGAGGAGCGAAAGCAUGGGGAGCGAACAGGAUUAGAGACCCCUGUAGUCCCUGUCUCUUAUAA
rnacentral:rRNA from 1 species